rnacentral:lncRNA from 10 species
UGGUGAUAAAAAUAGUAUAUAUAUUAUGCACCUGAUGUGGUUUGGUUCUCUGUCUCCAUCCAAAUCUCAUGUUGAAUUGCAAUCCCCAUUCUUGGAGUUGGAGCCUGGUAGGAGGUGAUUGGAUUAUGGGGGUGGUUUCUAAUGGUUUAGCACCAUCCCCUGCAGGCUGUUUCAUGAUAGAGUUCUCAUGAGAUCUGGUUGUUUGAAAGUAUGUAGCACCUCCCCCUUUUCUCUUUCUUUCUCUCUCUCCUGGCGCCACGUGAAGACAUACUUGCUUUCCCUUUGCACUUCUGCGGUGAUUGUAAGUUUCCUGAGGCUCCUGAACCAUGUUUCCUGUACAGCAUGCAGAACUCAUUUACAGUCCACUGAAGUCAACAGAAAUAGAAAACAGAUUUAUACUUACUCUUCUUGAUAGAAAAAUAUUGUCUUCAAAACUUCUUUUUUUUUAGAUCAAGCUCACUUUUCCCUUGACUUCUAAAGCACAUAUUUACCUUGUUAAGAACUUUGUCAGCAAAUGGAUUUACUGAUAUGAGUCACCCUAUGGACCUAGAGGCUGAAUCUGAUCAAUGCUUCACUCUGUAAACAAGACAAGGCUAUCAGUAAUCUUACAAUAUGGACAUCUAUAUUGGCUUCUUGUAUUACAGCCAGACAUAUAACCAACUAAUGGGAGAGAGAAGACAUAAAUAUGGGAGAGAGAAGACAUAAAUUACUGGAUAACAUUAGUGUUUGUGAACUACCCAAUUUAGAACUGCAUGUUGAAAUCAUAAGGCACUGAGAUUACAUGCUGCCUCUGCGAGUUUUGAUUAGUGGAAACAUCACAACAUUUUAUCAUUUAUUUGCCUUUUGCAGUUAAAAACAAACUGCGCUUUUGUUUGUUGUGCAGUUUGUAUUGUAAUCCACUUUAAAAAAUCUACCUACAUUUUGAACACUGUUCAAGCGAAGGUGCUCUAUAAGCAUGAUUUUUUUUUAAAUCUAUGGCCCCAUAUAAUAGGAACAUUUGUUUACAUGUCAAACAAGCUUCUUUAAUAUAUUAACAAUGAAAAUAUCUAGCCUAGCUGUCAAAAUAAAAAGGUGGGGUAUGGGAAAUUGUUGAGAACAUAGUCUGGAAUAAAAAUAAUAUAAAUAAAUUAAUACAUCUUUACCUUUUUCUUCCUUGACUACAUGUGCCAUUAUCCACAAAAGCUAAUACAUAUCCUUACCCUUAUUCUCAAUUAUUUAGUUUACUCUCCUCAACCCUUCCUCUUAUAAAAUGUUUCACCUUAAGUGUAGAUUAAACAUCUCUCUUCUGCAAUUCAAAAUAAUACGUUUAAUAUAUAGCUUCACUCAUACUUACUUUAUCUUACCUAGAGAAAGAAAUAUUUCUGUCCUAGUUCGGACAUAAAGGCCUAGGAAUUUAUACUGUUAGAUCACCAGGAGCCCAAAAUUAUCUGUUUUCAAAAUUUUAACCAAAUACCAAUAUUCUAAUAAAUAAGCUGUUGCUCUAGACAAAUAACAUGAAGUAAAAUAUACAAUGAAUUAUUGAUUUUUGUUUCAUUUCUUUUGGUCAAACUAGAUAAACAACAAGGUAUUCUAUGUAAAGAAUAACCAUUUUUCAAAGAAUACCAAUAUUUUCCCUUGAGAUGACAUUUCACAAAAAGGAUUAUUUCUUUCAUAUCUCAUAGUACAAACUUAGAAAAUGUUUUAUUUUUGUGUUUGUUGUUCUCUUCUGAACUACCUCCUUAAUGAGUUUGGCAUUCUGCUAUGUAUUGGUCUAUCUGCUAUGAAUGCCAGUAUCUUAAUACAUACUUAAAUUUAAACAUUCUAAUUUAUCCUACCAUUUC